UACAGAGGGUGCAAGCGUUAUCCGGAUUCACUGGGUUUAAAGGGUGCGUAGGUGGGUUGGUAAGUCAGUGGUGAAAUCUCCGGGCUUAACUCGGAAACUGCCGUUGAUACUAUCAAUCUUGAAUGUUGUGGAGGUAAGCGGAAUAUGUCAUGUAGCGGUGAAAUGCUUAGAUAUGACAUAGAACACCGAUAGCGAAGGCAGCUUGCUACACAAUAAUUGACACUGAGGCACGAAAGCGUGGGGAUCAAACAGG
rnacentral:rRNA from 1 species